AUAAGAAAGUUUUGUUGGGGGAAAUCUAAGGGCCCUCCAUAAACCUUAUAUGCUUAUAAAACAGCAUAUAAAAAUUUAACAGCGGUGCGCUAGAUUGCAUAGUCUUUUCAAAGAGAAGGCGCUGCAUUUAUACGUACUGGAGUUGUUGGCUUUGUCCUCAUUGUUGCCGGAAGAUGACUGUGGGCUGCUGUGGUUGCUGCUGCUCUCUGCUGUCCUCCUCUCUUUUUCAUCAUUCUCUUUGCAGGUCUCCGAACCUGAAGUGGUGGCUGUAGCAGCUCCUGGGACUUUGUCGCAGUUCUUGUCCCCAGAAUAAUCCGUGGGCUGAUUAUCAGUGCUGCCAUAAGCAGUCUCAAAGAAUUGGUCAAAAGCUUGAGGCAGAACACCGUUACGCCCCACUGUGCUAUAGAAAUUAGACGAAACGUUGGCAUUGGGGUGAUAUACAUUGGAGGUGUUUUUGCCGAACAUGUCCCCCAUGCUAGCAGUGUUGGAGGCAGGAAUGCAGUCCCUGUGCAUGAUCUCCUCUGCUGAGUAGCAGUGGGGUAGGUUAUUCCUGUGGUGCCACUUACUGGAAGUAUCAAUGGCAUACUCUCUGAAUGUGACCUCUCUCACAGGUUGGACCUGGGGUAGGUUGGAAGAGUAAGAAUAUGUCAUAGGACGAGAAGAUGGGGUUUGGGGUAGGAAUGAAGGAAGGCUGGAGAAAUCAGGACCCGAGACGUAGUAAGUGCAACUUGGCAAAUACAUGUUAGAGGAGCACGGAACGCGCUCAUCAAAAUCCAUCAUUAGGCUACCUCGGGCUGUCCGCAUUAGCUGAGCUUAACAUGACUCUCUAAUGCAGCUGCCUCUUUGAAGCAGAUCCGUGAAGUAGAAAUUUGGAGACGUAAGCUGACGUGGAAAUCUAUCCCAGUCCUUAGCAGGGAGGUGCUGGUCAUGUGAUCAGAUGUUGAAAUUGACAAGCUGCAAGUAUGGGCCCUUUUGUAGCCAUCUCAGGGGAAGCAACAGAUCGUCACUUGCUAGUUUCAUACAAGCAUAUAAUCUGAAAUGUAACUCAUGAUCCCCCAACAUCUGUGCAAGUCAUUGAGAUUAUUGCUGGCAAUUGCACUUUUUGUGAAAAGCCUCGUCUAGACCAUCUGGUAUGCACUGAACAGUCUGCAGAGUUGUAACCACUUCCAUUGAAAUACAAAA